rnacentral:rRNA from 1 species
AUUGAACGCUGGCGGCAGGCCUAACACAUGCAAGUCGAGCGGAGAGGCGGAAGGGUGAGUAAUGCCUAGGAAUCUGCCUGGUAGUGGGGGAUAAAGUCCGGAACCGGGCGCUAAUACCGCAUACUCUAAGAUUCGCCUAGGCCGGAUUAGCUAGAUGGUGGGGUAAAGGCUUACCAAGGCGACGAUCCGUAACUGGACUGAGAGGAUGAUCAGUCACACUGGAACUGAGACACGGUCCAGACUCCUACGUGAGGCAGCAGUGGGGAAUAUUGGGCAAUGGGCGAAAGCCUGAUCCAGACAUGCCGCGUGAGUGAAGAAGGUCUUCGGAUGGUAAAGCACUGUAGGUGGAGAGGCGGUACCAACAGAAUAAGCACCGGCUAACUUCGUGCCAGCCGCCGCGGUAAUUC